rnacentral:rRNA from 1 species
CGGGGGGUGCCUAUACAUGCAAGUCGAGCGAACAGAUGAGAAGCUUGCUUCUCUGAUGUUAGCGGCGGACGGGUGAGUAACACGUGGGUAACCUACCUAUAAGACUGGGAUAACUCCGGGAAACCGGGGCUAAUACCGGAUAAUAUUUUGAACCGCAUGGUUCAAUAGUGAAAGACGGUUUCGGCUGUCACUUAUAGAUGGACCCGCGCCGUAUUAGCUAGUUGGUAAGGUAACGGCUUACCAAGGCGACGAUACGUAGCCGACCUGAGAGGGUGAUCGGCCACACUGGAACUGAGACACGGUCCAGACUCCUACGGGAGGCAGCAGUAGGGAAUCUUCCGCAAUGGGCGAAAGCCUGACGGAGCAACGCCGCGUGAGUGAUGAAGGUCUUCGGAUCGUAAAACUCUGUUGUUAGGGAAGAACAAAUUUGUUAGUAACUGAACAAGUCUUGACGGUACCUAACCAGAAAGCCACGGCUAACUACGUGCCAGCAGCCGCGGUAAUACGUAGGUGGCAAGCGUUAUCCGGAAUUAUUGGGCGUAAAGCGCGCGUAGGCGGUUUCUUAAGUCUGAUGUGAAAGCCCACGGCUCAACCGUGGAGGGUCAUUGGAAACUGGGAAACUUGAGUGCAGAAGAGGAGAGUGGAAUUCCAUGUGUAGCGGUGAAAUGCGCAGAGAUAUGGAGGAACACCAGUGGCGAAGGCGGCUCUCUGGUCUGUAACUGACGCUGAUGUGCGAAAGCGUGGGGAUCAAACAGGAUUAGAUACCCUGGUAGUCCACGCCGUAAACGAUGAGUGCUAAGUGUUAGGGGGUUUCCGCCCCUUAGUGCUGCAGCUAACGCAUUAAGCACUCCGCCUGGGGAGUACGACCGCAAGGUUGAAACUCAAAGGAAUUGACGGGGACCCGCACAAGCGGUGGAGCAUGUGGUUUAAUUCGAAGCAACGCGAAGAACCUUACCAAAUCUUGACAUCCUUUGACCGCUCUAGAGAUAGAGUCUUCCCCUUCGGGGGACAAAGUGACAGGUGGUGCAUGGUUGUCGUCAGCUCGUGUCGUGAGAUGUUGGGUUAAGUCCCGCAACGAGCGCAACCCUUAAGCUUAGUUGCCAUCAUUAAGUUGGGCACUCUAGGUUGACUGCCGGUGACAAACCGGAGGAAGGUGGGGAUGACGUCAAAUCAUCAUGCCCCUUAUGAUUUGGGCUACACACGUGCUACAAUGGAUAAUACAAAGGGCAGCGAAUCCGCGAGGCCAAGCAAAUCCCAUAAAAUUAUUCUCAGUUCGGAUUGUAGUCUGCAACUCGACUACAUGAAGCUGGAAUCGCUAGUAAUCGUAGAUCAGCAUGCUACGGUGAAUACGUUCCCGGGUCUUGUACACACCGCCCGUCACACCACGAGAGUUUGUAACACCCGAAGCCGGUGGAGUAACCUUUUAGGAGCUACCCUUUCGA